rnacentral:tRNA from 1 species
AGGACCAUAGCUCAGUUGGUUAGAUCGCUGCCGUGACAUGGCAGGUGUCGGCAGUUCGAAUCUGCCUGGUCCGACCA